CGGCUGCCUGCGCCGGACUGGAGAGCGCGGAGGGCCGACCUGACCCGCCGAAAGGGCCUGAGGCGAGGGGAGCCCGGGUCCCGGGGCCUUGGGGAAGGACCCGCAGCCGCACGCCGGCCCCAAGUGCAAAGCAUUGACACGACCCCGAGCGGAGAGGGGGCGCCCUCCUUCUCCCGCGCCCAGAGGCCCGGCCGCUCUGGCCCGAGCCCCAGCCUGGCCUCCGACCCAGCUCCGGGUCGUGGCGCCGCCUGGGGGUCCCUGCGCCCCGGAAAGAGACAGCAGGCACUGGAAAGCGAGGCCGGUGGGCGGGCGAGUCGGGAGGCUCGGGCGGCCGAGGUCCGGGAGCGGAUCCCAGGUGGCGGGAGCUGGUGCCCUGGCAGGAGGGACUGGCUUAUGCCACCCUGUGCAGGAUCGUCUUCUCAGCUUACAGAGCCUAGUGUGAUUCAACAACCCUCCAUCUCUGCCCCCAACAUGCCCAACUGAUCUGGUGGAGGGAACUGAAGAUGAAGGCCUCUCAGGCACCAUGGAUGGGAUGGGUGUGUGUGAAGGGGGCAGGGUCCCCAGGAGCUGCCCCAGGUCUGGCUGGACAGUUGCACGGGAAGUCCUGUUUGUGAACUCAACGUUUCCACGGCUUUUCCAUUAAACUUUACCCCAAAUCAC
rnacentral:lncRNA from 10 species